UAUUACUGCAAAGAAAUAAAUAAUUAAGCAUAAAUAUUUUACCUUUUGCAUAAUGGUUUAAUAAUAUUAUUAAAAAUUUCUAACCCGAAGUUAGAAGAUCUAAUUUUAUUACUAUAUUAGAAAUAAUUAUAUAAUGUUUCAAAAUUAUAUUUAUAGCUAAAAUUAGGGGUGAAAGGCCUGUCAAUUCUAAAGAUAUCUGGAAUAAUUUUAAAUGUAUUUAGUACAAAAUUAAGUUUGAGUAAAAAAAUGUUAAGAUUUUUUUAUUUUAGAAUAGUCAUUUAUAUGUAUAUGUGAAUUAAUCUUCUUACAUUAAAAUACUAAAAUAAUUUAUUAUUAUAUGUAUCUAACUAUUAAAAUUAUAUUUGUAAUAAUUUUUAAUAAGAUUAACUAUGUUAAAAUUAGUAUAAUAUCUUUAUUUUAUUAAGGAACUCGGCAAAAUUACUAUUCAUCUGUUUAUCAAA
rnacentral:rRNA from 1 species